rnacentral:rRNA from 1 species
AGUGAACGCUGGCGGUAGGCCUAACACAUGCAAGUCGAACGGCAGCACAGUAAGAGCUUGCUCUUACGGGUGGCGAGUGGCGGACGGGUGAGGAAUACAUCGGAAUCUACUUUUUCGUGGGGGAUAACGUAGGGAAACUUACGCUAAUACCGCAUACGACCUACGGGUGAAAGCAGGGGAUCUUCGGACCUUGCGCGAUUGAAUGAGCCGAUGUCGGAUUAGCUAGUUGGCGGGGUAAAGGCCCACCAAGGCGAAGAUCCCUAGCUGGUCCGAGAGGGUGGUCCAGCACAAUGGGAAUGGGACCCCGGCCAAACCUCCUCGGGGGGGCGGCGUAGGGGAAUAUCGGAAAUGGGCGACAGUCUGGCCCCACACAGACGCGUUAGUGAAGGAAGUCCUCGGAGCGUAAAAGUCUUUUUGUAGGGAAGAACAUUCGUCAGGGUGAAACCCCGAUGUUGUGACGGUACCCACAGAAUAAGAACCGGCUAACUUCGUG